rnacentral:rRNA from 1 species
CGCCUGGGGAGUACGGCCGCAAGGUUAAAACUCAAAUGAAUUGACGGGGGCCCGCACAAGCGGUGGAGUAUGUGGUUUAAUUCGACGCAACGCGAAGAACCUUACCUGGCCUUGACAUCCAGAGAACUUUCCAGAGAUGGAUUGGUGCCUUCGGGAACUCUGAGACGGGUGCUGCAUGGCCGUCGUCAGCUCGUGUCGUGAGAUGUUGGGUUAAGUCCCGUAACGAGCGCAACCCCUAUCCCUGGUUGCUAGCAGGUAAUGCUGAGAACUCCAGGGAGACUGCCGGUGACAAACCGGAGGAAGGUGGGGAUGACGUCAGGUCAUCAUGGCCCUUACGGCCAGGGCUACACACGUGCUACAAUGGCGCGUACAGAGGGCCGCCAACUCGCGAGAGUGAGCCAAUCCCUUAAAACGCGUCGUAGUCCGGAUCGGAGUCUGCAACUCGACUCCGUGAAGUCGGAAUCGCUAGUAAUCGCGAAUCAGAAUGUCGCGGUGAAUACGUUCCCGGGCCUUGUACACACCGCCCGUCACACCAUGGGAGUGGAUUGCACCAGAAGUAGUUAGUCUAACCUUCGGGAGGACGAUUACCACGGUGUGGUUCAUGACUGGGGGUGAAGUCGUAACAAGGUAACCGUA